rnacentral:rRNA from 1 species
UACGUGGGGGGCAAGCGUUGUUCGGAAUUACUGGGCGUAAAGGGCUCGUAGGCGGCCAACUAAGUCAGACGUGAAAUCCCUCAGCUUAACUGGGGAACUGCGUCUGAUACUGGAUGGCUUGAGAUUGGGGGAGGGAUGCGGAAUUCCAGGUGUAGCGGUGAAAUGCGUAGAUAUCUGGAAGAACACCGGUGGCGAAGGCGGCAUCCUGGACCAACACUGACACUGAGGAGCGAAAGCCAGGGGAGCAAACGGG